UGGGGAAUAUUGCACAAUGGGGGAAACCCUGAUGCAGCGACGCCGCGUGAGCGAAGAAGUAUUUCGGUAUGUAAAGCUCUAUCAGCAGGGAAGAAAAUGACAGUACCUGACUAAGAAGCCCCGGCUAACUACGUGCC
rnacentral:rRNA from 1 species